UUACUACUCCCUCCUUCGGAAUUACUUGUCCGAGAAAUGGAUGUAUCUAGAUAUAUUUUAGUUCUAGAUACACCCACUUUUAUCCAUUUUUGCGACAAGUAAUUCCGGACGGAGGGAGUACAUG
rfam:Triticum aestivum genome assembly, contig: Triticum_aestivum_CS42_TGACv1_scaffold_622642_7DS